GAGCCACAAUAUCUGCUUCCUCCCCAGUUCUUCACAAGCACCCAGAACUCACAAAAGACCUGCUGCUUCUACAACAUAUUGCAUGCCAUACUUGGUGGGGAUCCCAUGUGCAUCCUAAAAGUGACUGGACAUUUUGUGAGAGCCUGGCACAGAGACCCCUGCUGUGCAUGAGAAGGUGGGAGAGGGGCAUGUAAGACAAAACAAACCAUGUGAUGAGCCAGGAGCUGUUUGAAACUCAGCCAGAGUCAAACUAGUCCCAUGAGGUGAGCACAGAGAAACCUGGUGAUGAAGGGGAGGGGAGUUCGGAAAGAAGCUUCUGCUGAAAAGUUGCUGCAGUUCUGCUUUUUGUCCACCAGAGGGUGCUGUGGUGCUAGAACACAGCAGCCCGCUCCCAGCCAGCUAGGGAAGAGAAAGAGCCUGCAGAGCUUUCUUCAUAGCGCCUGUCUGGCCAGGGUUUAAACCUUCGAUUCUCCCUUUGGGGUGUCUGGACCCUGAUUGGCAAACUACUUACUGGAAAAAGGACAGGGCAUAUGUCAAAGUGAAGACUGACAUAAACACUUGAAUCCUUCUGCCAGGAAACCAGCAGCACAAAAAGUUUUUGGAAAUGUCCGUAGAAAAGCCUCUCAGGAACAAUGGAUCCUACUGAAUUUUUAUAAGAAUUCCUGCACUGACAAAUCAGCAUUUCCUGUUAUCUCUAUUUUUCUGCAUUUACAAGCAGCAGAUGAUUAUAGAGAUUUUUGAGAUUCAGGAAAUGGAUUAAAACGGUUCAUAAACCUAUAAAUCAUUGGAUGUCACCACACAAAGUUACCCUCAAUAAGCCUACUGAACACCAUCAUCAUCUUUCUCUAAAACAUGUAAAAGAAAAUCUAGCCCUGUAUUCACAAAGGCUGAGUAAUUUUUAAAUUGUGAAAGGUAGUGUCACAAACAACUUUUUUUGUUGCAGUUGCUUCUCAAUAGGAUAACAGGAGCUGUAUAUAUACAUACUAUGGAUACUCAGAUAGAAAGAAGAACAGGAGUACUUGUGGCUGCUUAGAGACUAGCAAAUUUAUUAGAGC